AGGAUAAUGUUAUUUGAUUCCUUCCUGCAUUGUCUUCUUUUUGCAAAUCUAAUUUUUGUAUUUUCUCAAACCGCAUAUUUUAUUCAGUUAAUUGCCUCUCCUUUCAUAUUCCUGAUCAUUUAGAAUAACAUCUCUCUUUCGUAGCUUUUCUUUUCUUCUUUUGACAUUGAUCGAUGUGCUAUUUGUGCUCACUUCCAAGAUAUCCUCGAUAGUGUUGGUUGAAAAAAUAUUUUUGUUUCCUUAAUUGUUCAUCUGUUAUUCACUCAAGGAUUUUAAAAUUAUUUAUAAAUUCUGUAGAUUGCUAUCAUUUACAGGGUGGCUACCAGCCUUGAAUUUCGGGAGAAAUGGGGGAAAUGAAAGAAUUUUCAUUGUCUGGGGAAAAAAACCUGGAAUUAUGCUUGAAGUACUUAUCGCCAGGAAUUUCAUAUAUUGUCGCGGGUUGAAAUUUUGCAGGGUUGUUGAAAUCAAAUUUAGGGACUUUACUGACGGGACUCUGGGCUGGCUGCUCUGUUCACUCGUCAGCGCAAGUGGCGUGACCAUGUAAUUGGGGCACGGGGCCGGCGCGGCGCGCUGCGGGCUUGCAGAAUUUUGUUUGUUUGUUUGGCCGCGCGCUGGCGCAGCCACGGGCCGCAGUUACUGGGGCGCGCUGUCGUAACAAGCCGCGCGGUGUGGCCUGCACAUCGGGGUAGAGGGGGGGUAGUCUUCCCAGAUGUUCUAGUUAGUUGUUUAGUAAAUUUGACUUCAAUAACGAGCUUUUGUUAUGGUAGGCGCGGCAGGGCGCGCGAAUUUAAGCGCAAGUGAUUGGUGACUCGGGGCUCACUCAGGCGGAGGCUAUGCGUCUCACCUGUGGUCACGAGUUGUUAGUUCGUUCGUGAUGUAGGAAUUCAGGCUCACUCAGGCGGAGGCUAUGCGUCUCACCUGUGGUCACGAGUUGUUAGUUCGUUCGUGAUGUAGGAAUUCAAGCUUUCGGGCGGAAGCUAUGGUCGACGCCAGAGGCCACGAGUCGUUUAAUUUAAGUUAGGUCAUAAUGUAGUCGUCAAGCUUUCGGGCGGAGGCUAUGGCCCUCGUCAGGGGUCACGCGUCAUAGUUUUUAAAAUGUAAUGUUCGUUCGGGAUUUCAAGGGCAGGAGAGGCCCCUACGUUAUUUUUUUAAAGUAAUCGAUCAAGAAAGGCUUUUCGGAAAAUGUGAGUAUGGACUUAUCUUUGUUUUAAUUUUAAGUAUUAAUUAUGAUUUGAGGUAUUCGGAAGGACUAGGGAAGUGUUUAGUGAAGUUCUCUCAUUCUCUCUCUUGUAAGGUCGUUCAAUCGUUAAGGAAGUAAAGAGAUUAUUGUUUUAAAUUGUAAUCCUGCUAUUUAAAUGUUCUUUAAAAUGAUGUUGAGUAUUUGACUUUAAGAAUAAAAUAAUUUUAAUUAAGUAUUAUGUUAUUUUGCAAAAUCUCCUUAGUUCAGCUCUCACCAGACAUCCUGUACGGGAUGACGAACCUAUGAUCCUAGGUACAGUAAAGUAUUUUAUGAAGUUAAGACUAGUUGAUGCCAAGCGAGUUGUUUCUAUGUAAAGAGCUACGAUUCUCGCCCCCCCCUCUGAAGGUGGAUCGUGACAGAAAUGGCGGUGGCACCGGCUAGGUGUUCGUGACAGAAAUGGUAGAGUUCGCCGGAUAGGUUCUAUUUCUGGAGAGAGAGAGAGGUAGAUUUUUAUGUUUAUUAUUAAGUUAGUUUCAGCUUCUGAUAGCAGGUUAUUAAGAGUUUACUUGAGGAGAGGAUUACGGAAUUUUAGUCUAUAGUGGAGGAAGUCUUUGAGAUUUUUUUUUUGACGUAACAGAUGUUUAUUUGAGUAUACUUGUAAGGAUAAAGUUUAUAGUGAUAAGUUGUUUUAAGUCGUUGAGUUUAUCAGGGAUUUUUACGUGAGGAGAAUACGUUAUAAUUUAAAUGAUUAAUAGAGAUAAUGCAAGUGGUUUAAUUUAAUUGAAAUUAAUUUUAAGAUUGUAGGUUAAGAGAGUUAAAAUUUAAAAUAAAGUUUUUUUCGUAAAUAGGAAUUAUUUUCAAGAGAAGUUUGUUUUGUUUUCGUGCGCGUAGGAGACGAGACGUACGAAUUAAAUCAGUCGAGGAAAGGAUAAACGUUAGAAAGGAAUUAAAGAGAAAACGAGAGUUUAUGUAAAAGAGAGUUAUAGAAUUUAUAGUGAUGUUUUGUUUUAAUUAGAAAAAUGUUGAGAGUUGUUUCAGAACGACACGUCAGUGGACGUGGCAGAGUGAACACGUGACGGGGAGGUGCUGAGACCUAGCGGAGAACGGAGGAACCGCAAGCGAGGGUUGGCGCACCUGAUGGAAUUCGGUGACGUCACGGGCUCAUACGGAGACGUGGACAGGCCGUGACCUUGUUUUGAUCAGCUGUACGGUAACUUAGCGAUAAGAAAAUAGACUAUUGGUUAAAUAAAUUUAAAUUUAAGUGUGUUUUAGGAGAAGAGGAACUUUCAGUAUAUUCCUUAAGAUGAGCUGAGCAGCAGUCCAGUUUACAAGAUGACAAGAGUUCGAGAGACAAGAUACAAGAUCACUGAAACAAGAGCCAAGACUGAAGAUUCAAGAGAAGAGAAAGCUGGCAGCCAUGGACUUACAAGUGGAGAUUAAUAAGGUCAUGUAAAGUUUUAUUUUUUUUUAUGGAAGACAGUAACUGGAGUUUUUUUUUGUUAUAAACAUUAUUUACAGAACUUUUUAGGUUAUAGUAAUGUAAUGGAACUAGUGAGUUGUGGUAGCUGUCAAAAAGAACUAAUACAUUAAGUUUAAUUUUUAAAGUUAAUUUUCUUAAUUUACAGAGGGAUUAGUAGUUUUUUUUUAAACCUUAUUUAGGUUGGAAUUUAAAUACAAUAGCUUAUUAUAAAUGUGUACGAACAGUUCAAGUUCACAGUACUGAUAGGUAGGUCAGAUGAUCUUAUUGAUUUUGAUGAUUUGUUGUUUUGAGUUGAUUUUUAAGUGUUGUGAAUUAGACAAUGAAAUAGUUCUGAAAACUUAAAUUAUUUCAAGCUAAGAAAUAGUAAAGUUAAUUGUAACUCAAAGGACACCAGAAUUUAAUUUUUUUUUGAAUUAGUAAUGUUUGAAAAUUUUAUACUUUACAAGAAAGGUUAUAAACAAACAGAUCGGAUGGAACAAGGAUGCAGUAAAUCACAAUUUCAUUUAGAAUUAUUGAUUAGCUUUUGAGGUUAUGAAGUAAAAGUAAUUAUAGUUUAAAAGUUUGAAUUAAAAAAAAAAUGUUUUUUUUUUAUUUGUUUGAAAUAGAAAGUUUAAAAGUUAAUUAGUCAUGAUCUAGGUGGGUGAUGGGGUGGGAAUUGGCCACUCUUUUUCCCUAUAACCUCCCUAACAUGGCCUUCUAUUACAACUAACAGAAAUAAAGAAGAAGAAAAAUGAAGAAUUAUUAGUUAGAAUGUUUCUUUCAUGAAGAUACCUGAUGAACUUUUACUGUUUGGAAGAAUAGUAGCAAGAUUAAUCAGAUGUUUUACUCAGAAGAAGAAGAAGAAGAAGAUAAAGCAGUUUUAUGACUCGACAAGCCAGAGAUUGGUGUUUCCCCUCUGCGCUUCUAUUGACUACGUUGUUUACUCUCAUGGGAUAGCUGGUUCGGCACCAUGGAGAGAGAUUGGUGGGCAUUGUGGUUGCCCCCAGAAGAAAAGAAGAGUAGAAGAGGUUAUGGGUGGGUCAUGUGAACUGACCUUCAACCCAGUUACUUCGUGGGGACUAUUUGCUGUAUAGAGAAGAUCAAGACUCAAGAGUUAUGGAAAAUCAUUGGAGGUCAUGUUUCCCUUCCUUAAGUUUUUCCUAUCAAAUUAUUUGCCUGAUUAGAUUAUGCUAAGGGUGGGAUACUUUAUGUUAGCAGUUGAAUUAAUUAAUUUUAUUUUUUUGUGUGUUUGCAUCCUUGCCCAUCGAUUGCAGUUUAGUAGUUAGUUUUGUAUUUGUCAGGCGUGAUGGUAAUGCCUGUUGAUGAUGUUUCAGAAUUGUAAUCUGUUCGUGAUGAGGAUGGCACAACUCCGAAGCAGAUGUGGGGAGAAGUUGUGAGCUGCCCUGGAAGCCAGUCCAGUAGCUGUUGGAGUUGAGUGGUGUUUGCUGAUGGCCAGCCCAGGGAGCUACUCUUCUCGACAACACUGACUUCGAGGAGUUGCACCAACCUUCACGAGAUAAGAGUUUAAUUAAUUGAAACACUGUAAGGACACUUAAUUUUUUUUGAAGAACGAAAGAAGUAUGGUAAUAAACGGAAACCGAAAAAAAAAAAAAAUAAUAAUAAUUAUCAAGAAUUUGCACAUUGUUUAACGAAUACUGAGAAACUAAGAACAGUAAUUUAAUUUGUAAAGAGAGCUUCACUAACAGAACAAUUUUUUUAGAAUUGAGAACUCGAGCCUCUGAAGGUCCCUGUGAGAACAAACCAGAUAAAAGUUUUACAUUUAAUUUUAUGAAUACUUGUUGUUUUAAAAUAAAUCUUAUGCAGAAUCUAGAUGUAUGUUCAGACAGCAAGGAACUAAGAAAAUUAUUAUUUUUGUGAAAUGAGGAAUUUAUAGUUAUGGUUUAAUGGAAAAAGACAAUUUGUAAUUUUGAGGUAGCUCGAUGGGGCUCGAGCUCUGUGAGGGGAGGGUUAUGUCGCGGGUUGAAAUUUUGCAGGGUUGUUGAAAUCAAAUUUAGGGACUUUACUGACGGGACUCUGGGCUGGCUGCUCUGUUCACUCGUCAGCGCAAGUGGCGUGACCAUGUAAUUGGGGCACGGGGCCGGCGCGGCGCGCUGCGGGCUUGCAGAAUUUUGUUUGUUUGUUUGGCCGCGCGCUGGCGCAGCCACGGGCCGCAGUUACUGGGGCGCGCUGUCGUAACAAGCCGCGCGGUGUGGCCUGCACAUCGGGGUAGAGGGGGGGUAGUCUUCCCAGAUGUUCUAGUUAGUUGUUUAGUAAAUUUGACUUCAAUAACGAGCUUUUGUUAUGGUAGGCGCGGCAGGGCGCGCGAAUUUAAGCGCAAGUGAUUGGUGACUCGGGGCUCACUCAGGCGGAGGCUAUGCGUCUCACCUGUGGUCACGAGUUGUUAGUUCGUUCGUGAUGUAGGAAUUCAGGCUCACUCAGGCGGAGGCUAUGCGUCUCACCUGUGGUCACGAGUUGUUAGUUCGUUCGUGAUGUAGGAAUUCAAGCUUUCGGGCGGAAGCUAUGGUCGACGCCAGAGGCCACGAGUCGUUUAAUUUAAGUUAGGUCAUAAUGUAGUCGUCAAGCUUUCGGGCGGAGGCUAUGGCCCUCGUCAGGGGUCACGCGUCAUAGUUUUUAAAAUGUAAUGUUCGUUCGGGAUUUCAAGGGCAGGAGAGGCCCCUACGUUAUUUUUUUAAAGUAAUCGAUCAAGAAAGGCUUUUCGGAAAAUGUGAGUAUGGACUUAUCUUUGUUUUAAUUUUAAGUAUUAAUUAUGAUUUGAGGUAUUCGGAAGGACUAGGGAAGUGUUUAGUGAAGUUCUCUCAUUCUCUCUCUUGUAAGGUCGUUCAAUCGUUAAGGAAGUAAAGAGAUUAUUGUUUUAAAUUGUAAUCCUGCUAUUUAAAUGUUCUUUAAAAUGAUGUUGAGUAUUUGACUUUAAGAAUAAAAUAAUUUUAAUUAAGUAUUAUGUUAUUUUGCAAAAUCUCCUUAGUUCAGCUCUCACCAGACAUCCUGUACGGGAUGACGAACCUAUGAUCCUAGGUACAGUAAAGUAUUUUAUGAAGUUAAGACUAGUUGAUGCCAAGCGAGUUGUUUCUAUGUAAAGAGCUACGAUUCUCGCCCCCCCCUCUGAAGGUGGAUCGUGACAGAAAUGGCGGUGGCACCGGCUAGGUGUUCGUGACAAUAUAUCUGUUUUGCAGAUAAUAUGUCUGCUAGUUUUACAGGUUAUGUCAAACCCAGACUUAUGAUGAUAUUAGAAUUUCAUUUCAAUUUAACAAAAAAAAACAGUAAUAGUUUUUAUAGUUUGUUCAUUGGCGGCAGUUCUGCUUUAAUGUUGUUUCGUCGACUUUGAUUAAUUCAACCAUGAUCAUAUUGAAAGUUGGCGGCUGAUCACUAAAGAAUUGAAUACCUUUAUCGUCCUUGGGCAUUCACAUCUUAAGAUUGCUUCGAUGUAGAGUGAAUAUGAUUUUAAAUAUAUACGAAAGGUAGCCAACUUAUUGAGAUGUUAAUUUUACUUGAUAAUUUGGUUUUAUCAAUUUUAUAUUGUUUGAAUUUCGUGUACAGCUUCUGACAAAUUUCAUUGUAUAAAUGCCCAGAAUCUUCUUUCUGGGUUUAGUUCAUACAGACAAGCUAUUACAUUUGAACAUAGCUGUAGUUUGUGAAAAAUGUAAUUUUUGCCAAAAUGCUGUUCAGAAGAGUUAUUCUUAUUUUUGUGUGCGAUCAAGUUGAGAUGUUUAUCCUCUUUCGUGUGUCAAUAUGUUUUGUUACGGUUUUGCAUGGGGACUAUGUACCGUAUUCACCCGAAAAUAAGACAACCCUGGAUGUUAGACGACCCCCCAAUUAUGAAAACAUGUUUCAGAAAAAAUUAUAAAAUCACAAUCUUAACUUCUUUCUUUUGGUGCCAUUGCCUGGAUUCACAAGAAAACAUUGAUAUAAGCAAUAUCUACAAAUAUUUCUAAAAUUGUCUUCUACAAAUAACAAUUUAAAACACUGAAUUAAGUCAUUUCAACUGCUUUUCUUUCUUUCCAGUUUCAGUUAAUUACAUUACACAUUUUACUAUUCUCCACUGUCACUAUGAUCAUCACUUUCACUGUCUUCAUCCAAGUGGUCAGCCAUAACGAUUACCGAAUGUAAAAACGACUUUGUCACAAAUAAACAAUGCAAUUUACGUUCACCAUAGAUAAAUAUGUAUCGUUAACAUAUGCCACUUCAAAGAUAAAAGUACACAAAGUUUGUUCCAUAUUGACGGGACUACUGAUCUUUCGCUUUGCGAUGUUGGCAGCCUGGAACAUGGCUAUGGCAUGCAGCAGAGAAAGUGUCGUAUACACGUCCGUAUUGUUAUCUAUGAGACGGCUAUUGUUUACUUAGCUGCCUAUAUGCUCGUUGCUUAGCUGGAGUAACAUUACGGCAUUUUUAAUGAGUAAGAUAUUGAAAACAUGAAUGCUGCAAUAUUUGGCGUAUGGGAAACCCAUUGUUUGGGUUAUAUUGGAGGCUAUUAAUAAAUAAAUAAACAGCCUUUGUUAUUAUAGGUAGGUUAUACAACAAAACGAUCUUCAAAAAAAAAGUUUGAUCUCGGUUGUUAGAUGACCCCUGAUUUUUUGAAUUCUUUAGAAGGAAGAAACUAUCGUCUUAUUUUUGGGUGAAUACGUUAAGUAAAUUAAUUUAUUUCCUAUCACAAAUCUUAAAUUGAAUACUUAACUGGCUCUAUCAAUACUGAUAAAAAAAUUUCUUACCAUUUACAUGUAAGCGUUCAAUUUUUUUUUCUAAAACAAUUGAAAGCCCUGGUACAAUUAGGUGGUCCUCAGACGUGACCAUGCGUGAAGUUACUCUGUAUGUGUCAAGAUGGUUAGAUUGAAAUAUUUGGGCUCAUCAGCAGGCUGUCAGAGUGUGUGGAUUCCAUUUGCCAUAGUUUUGUGAUGUCAUGAAUGACAUUUGCCAAAUUGAAGGUUUAGUUAAUCUACAAAGGUACAGUAAACACUAUUCGGAUUCAUUGAAAAUAUAUAUUACAUUAUAUAAACCAUAUUAACAAGUAAAAAAAUGUUGUUAAAACUUGCUCACAACAUUUGGCUGGCUGAAAAUGUGUAUAAGAGCAUAAACAAGAGGGUUUCAUUGACAUAUUUUUAAUUUUUAUUGUAUUGUGUAUAUUUUUGUUAAAAUUUAUAGGUCUACCUUUAAAAAAAUUUAUUUAUAGAAUGGCAAUGGCUAUUUUAUGGAAUUCGUAAAUAAAAAUAUGCAAGUAUUUCGAUGAGCAGAUGAAAAUGUAAAUAUCCAAUGUUUAUUCGCAAACUCAGAAUCUGUAUUGACUAGAGCAAGAGCAUAACAAAUUUUUGCGUAGUUUUCUUGAGUUCUUGCCUGCCAUUAUUAUCUUUAUUCUAAGCAAUUAAUAGUGUUAUGGUGAACAACAAAAUGUAAGAUACAGUAGCUUAAUAAUUUCAAAAUAAAACUUUGAAUCUUAAAAUAUAAAAGUACUAUUGAAUACAAUAUUUUAAUAUUUUCGGAUGUUUUAAUAAGCAGCCAAUAAAGGCACUUAGGAAAUUUUAACCUGCCACAUGACUAUGUAUAUUAAUCAUUUUUGGUUGGUUAUAUAGUUUGGGAACUAUUUUAUUUAAGUUUUUUUUUUUUUUUUUGUUCUGGCAGCUCAAAAACAAUAAUUAAAUUGUUUAUGCUGUAUUUUGUGGGAAUAUAAGUAUAUGACCUGUGUUAUUAGUACAUAACUUUAUAUUGACAUCUUCAAUUUGUGUAGUUUCACCGUCAAGAUAAUUCCUUGAUAAACUAUAUUUUGCUCUUUGAAAACCUGGAAAUGUACAUGAAUUUCAGUGUCAAAGUUUGUUGGCCAACCUGAUUAAAGUAAUCCUAUUUUUUUUUAUAAUUAGGUAGAUUUCGGAGAAAGACUUCGUUUUGUAACAGUUACCACUGUACAUCUUCAGGACAAUUUCUACAAAGUUUUUCGUUACAUGGUUGUGUCCCCAAAAUCAUCAUCUCAAAACAUUAUAUAUACACACACACACAUACAUAAAUUUUUAUGAACAUGAUAACUACAUAAUUUUGCACAAAACAUUUCCAGACUAAUGCAAAAAAAAUUGAGAAAUCUCAGUCGAGUUUGUUAAUGGCAAAUAUCUGACUAAUGGGGCAGAAAUGGGGAAGGUUUAUUUUUUUUUAAUAGGACAAUUGCUAUAACCCCCGCAUCCGUAUGAAGAGUUAUUGUUAUUAUACUUAUACCUCGUUAAAUUCUUACCAAAAACUUUUCUCAAAAUAACUGCAAGGAAUAAUAAAAAGAGGUUAACCGACAAAAAAAAA